rnacentral:ncRNA from 1 species
AUGAAUCUUAAGGGAGAGGUCUAGUCAGCAUGAUUAGACGCCGAAGGGGCAAGGAAGACAGAAUUUUCUUAAACUCUCAGGCACCAGGACCUUAAGAGGACG